AUUGAACGCUGGCGGCAGGCUUAACACAUGCAAGUCGAGCGGGGGAGGUUGCUUCGGUAACUGACCUAGCGGCGGACGGGUGAGUAAUGCUUAGGAAUCUGCCUAUUAGUGGGGGACAACAUUCCGAAAGGGAUGCUAAUACCGCAUACGCCCUACGGGGGAAAGCAGGGGAUCUUCGGACCUUGCGCUAAUAGAUGAGCCUAAGUCGGAUUAGCUAGUUGGUGGGGUAAAGGCCUACCAAGGCGACGAUCUGUAGCGGGUCUGAGAGGAUGAUCCGCCACCCUGGGACUGGAGCACGGCCCAGACUCCUACGGGAGGCAGCAGUGGGGAAUAUUGGACAAUGGGCGGAAGCCUGAUCCAGCCAUGCCGCGUGUGUGAAGAAGGCCUUUUGGUUGUAAAGCACUUUAAGCGAGGAGGAGGCUCUUAAGGUUAAUACCCUUGAUGAGUGGACGUUACUCGCAGAAUAAGCACCGGCUAACUCUGUGCCAGCCGCCGCCGUAACAC
rnacentral:rRNA from 1 species